rnacentral:lncRNA from 1 species
UACGAUGUGAAAGACUUACACAUGCAUGUAUUUAAUGGCAGUGCAGAUAGCAUUCAUUCAAUCCGUGUAAAGCAAACGCGCAGCUGCACAAAAUGUCAGACAUGGCAUCUAGAACAUUGUUUGUCAGGGGUAACGUUAUCACGUGUUGUAGGCAGUAAUCUAACAGUUGACAGACAUUAGUAAAAUUAGCCAUAACGACACUAAUAACACAUGAGAACGAGAAGAAACUUUCAGUGUUGGUACUAAGCAGUUGCAGACAUUGAAACCUCAGUGAAUAUAACAAUGGCAGUAAAGUAUACAACACUCAUAGAAUGGAUAUGAAAACGAAAGACAUACCCUUUUCGUCAUGGGCCAUGAAACAUCAGUAAAACACCAUAACCUACAGCAAACGUGAUGGAGAGAAAAGAGCACAGCACCACGGAAAAAGUAGGUAAACCAGGAAUUCAACGAACCACCGUUCAUCGGCCGCCACAAUCACCAUGCGGCUCCUCCGAAUAUAACAGGUACUGACCAAAGGACUAAUUGCAGUGCAAAUUGGGCAGACGGAUCCUAUAACUAUCGUAGAGAAUGAAACACUUAUGAAUCUUAAGAGAAUUUCAUACAGAAACAGUUUAAAGGAAUGAAAAAUAAAAGAAAAAGGAAAACAUUUUGAUUUGAAUCGUUGUGU